ACCGCAUGAUCCUUUAUUAAUAGAUUUAUCGCUACCGGAUUGGCUCGCGUACCAUUAGCUAGUUGGCGGGGUAACGGCCCACCAAGGCGACGAUGGUUAGGGGUUCUGAGAGGAAGGUCCCCCACAUUGGAACUGAGACACGGUCCAGACUCCUACGGGAGGCAGCAGUGAGGAAUAUUGGACAAUGGCCGAGAGGCUGAUCCAGCCAUGCCGCGUGCGGGAAGACGGCCCUAUGGGUUGUAAACCGCUUUUGUUGGGGAGCAAUAAGGAUCACGUGUGGUCCGACGAGAGUACCCAGCGAAUAAGCAUCGGCUAACUCCGUGCCAGCAGCCGCGGUAAUACGGAGGAUGCAAGCGUUAUCCGGAUUUAUUGGGUUUAAAGGGUGCGUAGGCGGAUGCCUAAGCGUGAGGUGAAAUCCCCGGGCUCAACCUGGGAACUGCCUCGCGAACUGGGUGUCUGGAAUGCUCCUGCCGUGGGAGGAAUGUGUGGUGUAGCGGUGAAAUGCAUAGAGAUCACACAGAACACCGAUUGCGAAGGCAUCUCACGAAGGGGUGAUUGACGCUGAGGCACGAAAGCGUGG
rnacentral:rRNA from 1 species